rnacentral:rRNA from 1 species
AGUGUACAAGUUCCGUAGGUGACCUUGCGGAAGGAUCAUUA